UGUUUGGUAAAAUAUAUCUAA
rnacentral:piRNA from 1 species